rnacentral:precursor_RNA from 1 species
AACACAGACACACACUUAGGCGUCCUACAAUAGUUGUCUUCCUGGACCUAAAGGCGGCAUUCGACUCUGUUGAUCGUGAGGUUUUGUGGCAGUGU